GACGAACGCUGGCGGCGUGCUUAACACAUGCAAGUCGAACGGAAAGGCCCAGCUUUUGUGGGGUGCUCGAGUGGCGAACGGGUGAGUAACAAGUGAGUAACCUGCCCUUGACUUUGGGAUAACUUCAGGAAACUGGGGCUAAUACCGGAUAGGAACUCCUGAUGCAUGGUGGGGGUUGGAAAGUUUCGGCGGUUGGGGCUGGACUCGCGGCUUAUCAGCUUGUUGGUGGGGUAGUGGCUUACCAAGGUUUUGACGGGUAGCCGGCCUGAGAGGGUGACCGGCCACAGUGGGACUGAGAUACGGGCCGGAGUCCUACGUGAGGAAGCGGUGGGGAAUAUUGCACAAUGGGCGGAAGCCUGAUGCAGCAACGCCGCGUUCGGAAUGACGGCCUGCGGGGUGUAAACCGUUUUCGCCUGUGACGAAGCGGGAGUGACGGUAAUGGGUAAAGAAGCACCGGCUAACUACGUG
rnacentral:rRNA from 1 species